rfam:Desulfonatronospira thiodismutans ASO3-1 ctg21, whole genome shotgun sequence.
GGGGGCGACAUGGCUUCGACGGGGAUGAUAGAGGCCAGGGUUGCAGGCCGAGGUGCCGCGGGGACCUCGUUAAACACGCGGCAAAAAAUUAGUUGCCAAGAACAACGAAUACGCAAUGGCCGCUUAGAGCGGUCACGUUUCCACUCGCUGACGCCUGAUAAGCGAAACGGAAGCGCCAAACCCCCAUCAGGCUGGCUCUUCAUGCUCUGUUCCGGGGCUUGAAGGGCGAGACCUCACCGGAACUUGUUUUCAGGGGCCUGUCCGGAGGCAACCCUGAAAACGAGAAUUAAAUCCGGACUAAGCCUGUAGAAACCUUGUGCUGAACAUUCUCGGACGCGGGUUCGAUUCCCGCCGCCUCCACCA